rnacentral:rRNA from 1 species
GAUCAUGGCUCAGAACGAACGCUGGCGGCAGGCCUAACACAUGCAAGUCGAACGCUCGUAGCAAUACGGGAGUGGCAGACGGGUGCGUAACGCGUGGGAACAUACCCUUUGGUUCGGAAUAACUCAGGGAAACUUGAGCUAAUACCGGAUACGCCCGAGAGGGGAAAGAUUUAUUGCCGAAGGAUUGGCCCGCGUCUGAUUAGCUAGUUGGUAGGGUAACGGCCUACCAAGGCGACGAUCAGUAGCUGGUCUGAGAGGAUGAUCAGCCACACUGGGACUGAGACACGGCCCAGACUCCUACGGGAGGCAGCAGUGGGGAAUAUUGGACAAUGGGCGCAAGCCUGAUCCAGCCAUGCCGCGUGAGUGAUGACGGCCUUAGGGUUGUAAAGCUCUUUUACCUGGGAAGAUAAUGACGGUACCAGGAGAAUAAGCCCCGGCUAACUUCGUG